rnacentral:rRNA from 1 species
GACAAUGGGCGCAAGCCUGAUCCAGCAAUGCCGCGUGCAGGAUGAAGGCCUUCGGGUUGUAAACUGCUUUUGUACGGAACGAAAAGCUCUGGGUUAAUACCCUGGGGUCAUGACGGUACCGUAAGAAUAAGCACCGGCUAACUACGUGCCAGCAGCCGCGGUAAUACGUAGGGUGCGAGCGUUAAUCGGAAUUACUGGGCGUAAAGCGUGCGCAGGCGGUUUUGUAAGACAGAGGUGAAAUCCCCGGGCUCAACCUGGAAACUGCCUUUGUGACUGCAAGGCUAGAGUACGGCAGAGGGGGAUGGAAUUCCGCGUGUAGCAGUGAAAUGCGUAGAUAUGCGGAGGAACACCGAUGGCGAAGGCAAUCCCCUGGGCCUGUACUGACGCUCAUGCACGAAAGCGUGGGGAGCAAACAGGAUUAGAUACCCUGGUAGUCCACGCCCUAAACGAUGUCAACUGGUUGUUGGGUCUUAACUGACUCAGUAACGAAGCUAACGCGUGAAGUUGACCGCCUG